UACAGGGGGUGCAAACGUUGCUCGGAUUUAUUGGGCGUAAAGCGCGCGUAGGCGGCUACUUAAGUCGGAUGUGAAAGCCCUUGGCUCAACUGAGGAAGUGCACCCGAAACUGAGUGGCUUGAGUACUAAAGAGGGUCGCGGAAUUCCGAGUGUAGAGGUGAAAUUCGUAGAUAUUCGGAAGAACACCAGUGGCGAAGGCGACUUACUGGACAGAUAUUGACGCUGAGGUGCGAAAGCGUGGGGAGCAAACAGG
rnacentral:rRNA from 1 species